rnacentral:rRNA from 1 species
CACGCCNUAAACGAUGUCGAUUAGCUGUUGGGCAGCAUGACUGCUUAGUAGCGAAGCUAACGCGUGAAAUCGACCGCCUGGGGAGUACGGUCGCAAGAUUAGAACUCAAAGGAAUUGACGGGGACCCGCGCAAGCGGUGGAUGAUGUGGAUUAAUUCGAUGCAACGCGAAGAACCUUACCUGGUCUUGACAUGUACGGAACCCUCCAGAGACGGAGGUGUGCCUUCGGGAGCCGUAACACAGGUGCUGCAUGGCUGUCGUCAGCUCGUGUCGUGAGAUAUUGGGUUAAGUCCCGCAACGAGCGCAACCCUUGUCAUUAGUUGCCAUCAUUAAGUUGGGCACUCUAAUGAGACUGCCGGUGACAAGCCGGAGGAAGGUGGGGAUGACGUCAAGUCCUCAUGGCCCUUAUGACCAGGGCUUCACACGUCAUACAAUGGUCGGUACAGAGGGUAGCCAAGCCGCGAGGUGGAGCCAAUCUCACAAAACCGAUCGUAGUCCGGAUUGCACUCUGCAACUCGAGUGCAUGAAGUCGGAAUCGCUAGUAAUCGCAGGUCAGCAUACUGCGGUGAAUACGUUCCCGGGUCUUGUACACACCGCCCGUCACACCAUGGGAGUGGGGGAUACCAGAAGUAGGUAGGGUAACCGCAA